AACGAACGCUGGCGGCAGGCCUAACACAUGCAAGUCGAGCGAGGACUUCGGUUCUAGCGGCGGACGGGUGAGUAACGCGUGGGAAUGUGCCCUUCUCUACGGAAUAGCCCUGGGAAACUGGUAGUAAUACCGUAUACGCCCUUUUGGGGAAAGAUUUAUCGGAGAAGGAUCAGCCCGCGUUGGAUUAGGUAGUUGGUGGGGUAAUGGCCUACCAAGCCGACGAUCCAUAGCUGGUUUGAGAGGAUGAUCAGCCACACUGGGACUGAGACACGGCCCAGACUCCUACGGGAGGCAGCAGUGGGGAAUCUUAGACAAUGGGGGCAACCCUGAUCUAGCCAUGCCGCGUGAGUGAUGAAGGCCUUAGGGUUGUAAAGCUCUUUCAGCUGGGAAGAUAAUGACGGUACCAGCAGAAGAAGCCCCGGCUAACUCCGUG
rnacentral:rRNA from 1 species